CAGUUGGGGCCUUGGGUUUUUGAGUUUUACGUUACUGAGAAGUGAGAAGAAUUUCCGGAAGGGUAAAAGGCAAUUAGGCAAGAAAUCGAUGCCUGUCCUGUAACUGUAAGUGACAUACGAAACAGUGGUUUCACCCUGAUAGAGCUUUUUAUUGCGUCCUAUUUCUGUCUGUGACGUUUACAACUUUCUUCAACAAUGGCAAACGAGCAGCAGACAUUGCGACCAUGGUUCCUCGACCUAGUACCUUUUUGGUGGUUGUCUUAAUAGCAGCUCAUGUCCUCGCUUUGGUAUACUGGAUUUACAGAUUAGCAACUGAGAGACAACCGCAGCGGAGAAAGGCUCACUAGGAACAGAUUGAUCUGUUAAGCAUUGAAGCCGAAGCAAGUAUGUAAACAAAGUCGAAGAUGACUAAAUAGUGUGUUUUUGUCCAACCUUGUAUAAUAAUGUGGAACAACAUAACAUCAGCCGAUGAAAAUUUGUUGAUGAAUGGUGGAGAUUCAGUAAGGUUCACUGGUGAUCCAAGUUUACCUUGAAGGAAAUUUGGCUGCGGACAUUACAAAAUCGGCAUAACAGAUCUUGAGGGGUUAUUUGGAUCAUCCUGUCCUAGGUCUCUGAACAUCAUUGCUAUUUCAUCUGUAUGGAACUGGUGUUAGCGAGGGCUAAAACGGUCGACUGCUUUGUGGUGUGUCUAGGAUUCAGUUAUGGAUUCUAGUUUGGUCUAUGUGGCCAGUGGGCGUGCUUGAGUUAUAUUUGUCCCCGUUUGCUGUCAUGUAAAUGAAACAUUUUUUAGGCAAUGAAGUUUUCUUUCCGUUUGGCCAA